AGGCUCGGAGUUUUCUGUGUAGCCCCCCUGUGAGGGAUGGGGUGGAGAGAUCACUAGUGAGAAUGAUGACAUGAGUAGCGACAAAGAGGGUGAGAGACCCUCUCGCCGAAAGUCCAAGGGUUCCUGCUUAAAGCUAAUCUGAGCAGGGUAAGCCGACCCCUAAGGCGAGGCCGAAAGGCGUAGUCGGUGGGAAUCAGGUUAAUAUUCCUGAGCCAGGAGGAUGUGACGGAUCUCGACUGUAGUUUGCCCUUAUCGGAUUGGGUGAGCUGCUUAGAGGUUCCUGGAAAUAGCCCUCCAUGAGAUCGUACCCUAAACCGACACAGGUGGACUGGUAGAGAAUACCAAGGCGCUUGAGAGAACGAUGUUGAAGGAACUCGGCAAAAUACCUCCGUAAGUUCGCGAGAAGGAGGCCCGAUUGGCAGGCAACUGUUGGUCGGGGGCACAAACUAGGGGGUGGCGACUGUUUACUAAAAACACAGGGCUGUGCGAAGCCGUAAGGCGACGUAUACAGUCUGACGCCUGCCCGGUGCUGGAAGGUUAAAAGGAGGGGUGCAAGCUCCGAAUUGAAGCCCCAGUAAACGGCGGCCGUAACUAUAACGGUCCUAAGGUAGCGAAAUUCCUUGUCGGGUAAGUUCCGACCUGCACGAAUGGCGUAACGACUUCCCCGCAGUCUCCAACAUCGACUCAGCGAAAUUGAAUUGCCUGUCAAGAUGCAGGCUUCCCGCGGUUAGACGGAAAGACCCCAUGCACCUUUACUCCAGCUUCACAUUGGCAUCAGGCCAAGCAUGUGCAGGAUAGGUGGUAGGCUUUGAAGCAGGAACGCCAGUUUCUGUGGAGCCUCACUUGAGAUACCACCCUUGCUUUGCUUGAUGUCUAACCGCGGUCCGUUAUCCGGAUCCGGGACCCUGUGUGGCGGGGAGUUUGACUGGGGCGGUCGCCUCCCAAAUUGUAACGGAGGCGCGCGAAGGUUGGCUCAGACCGGUCGGAAAUCGGUCGUUGAGUGCAAUGGCAUAAGCCAGCCUGACUGCGAGACUGACAAGUCGAGCAGAGACGAAAGUCGGUCAUAGUGAUCCGGUGGUCCCGAGUGGAAGGGCCAUCGCUCAACGAAUAAAAGGUACGCUGGGGAUAACAGGCUGAUGGUGCCCAAGAGUCCAUAUCGACGGCACCGUUUGGCACCUCGAUGUCGGCUCAUCUCAUCCUGGGGCUGGAGCAGGUCCCAAGGGUAUGGCUGUUCGCCAUUUAAAGAGGUACGUGAGCUGGGUUUAGAACGUCGUGAGACAGUUCGGUCCCUAUCUUCCGUGGGUGUAGGAUACUUGAGAGGAGUUGCCCCUAGUACGAGAGGACCGGGGUGAACGAUCCACUGGUGGACCUGUUGUCGUGCCAACGGCAGUGCAGGGUAGCUAUGAUCGGACAGGAUAACCGCUGAAGGCAUCUAAGCGGGAAGCCCCCCUCAAAACAAGGUAUCCCUGAGGACCGUGGUAGACCACCACGUCGAUAGGCCGGAGAUGUAAGCGCAGCAAUGCGUUCAGUUGACCGGUACUAAUUGUCCGAUAGGCUUGAUU
rnacentral:rRNA from 1 species